UACGAAGGGGGCUAGCGUUGCUCGGAAUCACUGGGCGUAAAGGGCGCGUAGGCGGUCGUGACAAGUCACUUGUGAAAUCUCCGGGCUUAACUCGGAACGGUCAAGUGAUACUGUCGGACUAGAGUACAGAAGGGGCAACUGGAAUUCUCGGUGUAGCGGUGAAAUGCGUAGAGAUCAUGAGGAAGACCAGUGGCGAAGGCGGGUCUCUGGACAGUUCCUGACACUGAGACACGAAGGCCAGGGGAGCAAACGGG
rnacentral:rRNA from 1 species